rnacentral:tRNA from 1 species
GCUCCCUUCGUCUAGCGGUUAGGACACUGGCCUCUCACGCCGGUAACAGGGGUUCGAACCCCCUAGGGAGCGCCA